GGGGAAUAUUGCACAAUGGGCGAAAGUCUGACGGAGCAACGCCGCGUGAGCGAUGAAGGCCUUCGGGUCGUAAAGCUCUGUUGUCAGGGAAGAACAAGUAUCGGAGUAACUGCCGGUACCUUGACGGUACCUGACCAGAAAGCCACGGCUAACUACGCGCCAGCAGCCGCGGUAAUACGUAGGUGGCAAGCGUUGUCCGGAAUUAUUGGGCGUAAAGCGCGCGCAGGCGGUCCUUUAAGUCUGAUGUGAAAGCCCACGGCUCAACCGUGGAGGGUCAUUGGAAACUGGGGGACUUGAGUGCAGAAGAGGAAAGCGGAAUUCCACGUGUAGCGGUGAAAUGCGUAGAGAUGUGGAGGAACACCAGUGGCGAAGGCGGCUUUCUGGUCUGUAACUGACGCUGAGGCGCGAAAGCGUGGGGAGCAAAC
rnacentral:rRNA from 1 species